GCUGCUAUGAUUAAAGAACACUAGGAGUAUGAGAUACUAAAGAUCCCUAUUUUAUCUAUCUGCAUCAAACGCUGUUAGGAUUCCUUCAAUAAUGCAAGGCACCAUUUUCUAGUUGCAGCUCUCUGUGUUCACGUGUGAUACUAACAUGUUCAGAUAUUUCUGAUGAACGCGCCGUCACGUGAGCACCACUUUGAGAACCCUCGCCAAUACCUACCUGAGCGAUGGAUGCGAUCUUUUGAGGGACACCUGGGAGAUUCCAUUCCCAAAAAUGCAGUCUUACCAUUCAGCAUGGGGCCUAGAAAUUGUAUUGGCCGACGCUUCGCAGAACAAGAAAUGUAUUUAGCAGUCAUUAAGGAAUCUUCUUGCGUAGCCCUACCGGAUACGGAGAUGGAAAACAUGGAGACUAUAUUCAAUCUUAGGACAAAGCAAUUCAAAUCAAGUCGGGUAGAUUACCAUAUAGUCAACCAAUUACAGAAAAAAUCAUAUACAUACAGAUGUAACAUAACAUCAGCUUCAAAUCAUGCCACAUCAAGGCAGAUGACAAAACAUUAAUUUUUUUACUAAAUCAACUUCCAAUCAUGCAACAUCAAGGGAUUGACAUACCAUCAAGAGUUGCCUUUCAUAUCAACUUCAAAUCCAAUCAUGCACCAGCAAGGCAGAUGACAUUCCAUUAAGUUGUCUACUAUAUCAACUUCAAAUCAUGCAACAUCAAGGCAGAUGACAUAACAUUAAGAGUUGCCUAUCAUAUCAGCUUCAAAUCAUGCGACAUCAAGGCUUAAGACAUAUCAAUAGGAAUUUCCUAUCAGUUUCAAAUCAUGCAACAUCAAGAUACAUCACAUACGAUACAGGUAACAUCAGCUUCAAUCAAGUAGCGGCAAGGCAUUAGACAUACCAUUAAGAAUUGCCUAUUAUAUCAACUUCAAAUCAUGCAACAUCAAGGCAGAUGACAUACCGUUAAGAGUUGUCUAUUAUAUCAACUUCAAAUCAUGCAACAUCAAGGCAUUAGACACACCAUUAAGAGUUGCCUAUUAUAUCAACUUCAAAUCAUGCAACAUCAAGGCAUUAGACAUACCAUUAAGAAUUGCCUAUUAUAUCAACUUCAAAUCAUGCAACAUCAAGGCAUUAGACAUACCAUUAAGAAUUGCCUAUUAUAUCAACUUCAAAUCAUGCAACAUCAAGGCAUUAGACAUACCAUUAAGAGUUGCCUAUUAUAUCAACUUCAAAUCAUGCAACAACAAGGCUUAAGACAUAUCAUUAGGAGUUUCCUAUCAGUUUCAAAUCAUGCAACAUCAAGAUACAUCACAUACAAUACAGAUAACAUCAGCUUCAAAUCAAGUAGCGUCAAGGCAAAUGACAUAAGAUGAAGUCCUGUCCAUCAGCUUCAAAUCAAGCGGCGUCAAGCUAAGUGAAAAAAAUAAUUCUAACUGCCAACAGUUUAGUUUGAAUAUUGUUGAUCUCACUCCUUCGCUUGUAUUUAGAUAAAAAUGAAACCCUCCUUCCAAUCUUUAUGUAACUCUAAAAUACAAUACUCUUCCUAUCAAUAACUGCAGAGUUCCAAACUAUUUUUUUCUUUUUCAAUAGGCACAUUGUCCCCUGUUGGUAAAUUUUAGUUGCCUGACAUCAAGAACUUUCUGAAUUGCCGUUUUCUUUAUUUUCUUUCUUUCUUACAACUUUGAUACGAUAAAGUUAUUAAUCCCAGUUUGCCAACAUUUAUGAUUUCAUUAUUUAUAACAAUAAUCAUACGAUAGACUUAAUAACUCCAGUUUACUGACACUUAUGAUUUCAUUAUUUAUAACAAUAAUCAUACGAUAGACUUAAUAACUCCAGUUUACUGACACUUAUGAUUUCAUUAUUUAUAACAAUAAUCAUACGAUAGACUUAAUAACUCCAGUUUACUGACACUUAUGAUUUCAUUAUUUAUAACAAUAAUCAUACGAUAGACUUAAUAACUCCAGUUUACUGACACUUAUGAUUUCAUUAUUUAUAACAAUAAUCAUACGAUAGACUUAAUAACUCCAGUUUACUGACACUUAUGAUUUCAUUAUUUAUAACAAUAAUCAUACGAUAGACUUAAUAACUCCAGUUUACUGACACUUAUGAUUUCAUUAUUUAUAACAAUAAUCAUACGAUAGACUUAAUAACUCCAGUUUACUGACACUUAUGAUUUCAUUAUUUAUAACAAUAAUCAUACGAUAGACUUAAUAACUCCAGUUUACUGACACUUAUGAUUUCAUUAUUUAUAACAAUAAUCAUACGAUAGACUUAAUAACUCCAGUUUACUGACACUUAUGAUUUCAUUAUUUAUAACAAUAAUCAUACCAUAGACUUAAUAACUCCAGUUUACUGACACUUAUGAUUUCACUGUAUAUUACAUCAAUAAUGGUGAUAUGCCCCGUUUAUAAAGGAGCAUCUAAUAACGUUCAGAGUAUCACAAUGUUGACAACACUAUUGUCCUCAAAUGUAAGAUAUAGCCAACUUAUAAUAAUACUACUUCCAAUUUCACUAUUUCAAAUAUCAUCAAUCACAAAAGAAGACUCUUAAAUAGCGAGGUAAAAAAACAACUACUGACUUGUAUAAUCACACAAAAAAUCAUACUGUCUGCUAUGAGUCUCAAGUGUAUUCUUUUCAGGCAAAAUUUAAACAAAUUAGUAAAUAAAAUUCAACCGAGACCAAUUGUUAUAGCAGGUCUGCACACUGACCCGUGACGUGGUAACUUAUGGUCAGCUGAUACCAAUAACUUUUUGCCUUGUUACAGGGGACUUCUUUGGUCAGGGUUUAGACCUUCUGUAACGGUUGGUCUAGCCACAGGUUGCAACGUGGCAGGUCAGUGUUGAGGCCUACUAUAGCCAUUGGUCUCGAUUCAACCUCCAACUCAAACAUUCCUUCUUCAUCUAAAGUUAGCCAAAGACAUACAAAGUCUGGCCAUCAAUUAAUACAUCUGAAACCCUAUCGAGUCUCACUUGUAAUUCAAUUCUAAUGCUGUUGCUUUCAAAAUAUAUAUGUAUAUAUAUAUACAUAUACAUAAAUAUUUAUAUAUCUCCUCCUUCGUGUUCGUGGUCGAAGAUGAACACAUUUCUCAUUUCCUAUGGACUCGAAGAUGACUGUAAAGUCCAAUCCUCGCAUUAAAAAGCGGGCCGCAUGCGUAGCAUGGGCAGGUCUGGUCAGUUGCAGAAAGGCCUGCUUCUUCUCUCAGCUCUUUGUUGGUUCAUCGCUCUUUCGCCCUGGCCACUCUCCUUGCUUCUAUCUCGUGACUCAGACACUCACAGCUUCACGCCAUGAGGAGCGAUCGAGAGCUAGUGUUUCCCUGUCGUGAAUGUCAAUAUCACACUCCUUGUGAGGGCCGUUAAGGGUGUCUUUAUUGCAUUUCAGAGUAAAUAACAGUCGAUUACUUUCUCCUUUUGAUUUAAUGAAUGCAUACAUUUUCAAUACUGUUUUUAACUCUUGAUCUGCAGUCACCGACGCUCACAAUGGUAAAAAUUGCAUAAGUAAACAUUCAUUCACUUCCUAUGAAAACAACACCUUUCCAGUUUACUUUUGAGUCUUUGAAUUAUUUGAAAAUUCUGACACUUUCAUUAUUCCAUAUGUCUAUUUAUCUUUCUUUCCUAUCAUAUUUUAUCUCUUGUCAUGUUUGGAAAGAUAUGUGGUCUUCAAGCCAGUGCUGAUGAUAUAUACAUAUGGAUGUUAUAGCAUAAGUUAGUGGACGAGGUCUUUCUUAACAAUCUUAUUCUUAAAAAUUGAAUAUAAAGCCUCUUCGUGUUAUUUCAAUGUUCUAAAUUGUACUGCUUUGAACAUAUGAGUAAAGGUAUUCCUUUUAUUAAGUCUUUUAAGUCAUGGCCUCUUGUGCUUUAAAUAGAUUUAGACUGUUUUUACCCUUGUACAUAUGCGGAUAUGUCUGAGUAAAAACACGCCACUCUCCACGGUGUCUUUCUAGUUUUUUAAUGACUUCCCAGUUCUUUCCUGUCCUCUCGGCUUCACCUGGUCACUGCUUCGCCACGUUAUUUUUGGUCUUCCUCUAGGCUUUGUUCCCUGAGGGAUCCAAUCUAAGGCCGGUCUAUCUAUAACUCUUUCCUAAUGGUCUGACCAAUCCAUGUCCACUAUCUAUCUAGAACAUGCACCUCUAUAUUUCUCUGUUAGUCUGUCCACCCAUCUCCGUGGACAUAUCAAAAGUACAUUUGGCUAAAUAUUUGUCUGUCCACCCAUCUCCGUGGACAUAUCAAAAGUACAUUUGGCUAAAUAUUUGUCUGUCCACCCAUCUCCGUGGACAUAUCAAAAGUACAUUUGGCUAAAUCUAGAAACAAUAUUUAAAGUAAAUAUUUCUAGCUAGUUAUCUACUUAACGCCUUUAAGAAGGGAUUGAUGCCCAUAACAUGGGUGGAUUGAAAUAUGAUUUUUCCAGAAACAAUAAACCUAGUAACAGAGUUUCCCUUAGUAGAUAACAAUGCUUACAAGGCUUUCUAUGUACAGAAUAGCAAAAUGUCGCGUCUAUAACACACAGAACCCAUAAAACCGCUACUUUGGUUUGACUGCAAUGAAACGUUGUCAUGCCUAGAUAUAGAAACACAAAAGUACACUGCGAGAUCUGACUGUUGUGACGACUAUAGCUUAUGUCUUUCAAAUAGAUCUACAUCUUUCGUGUGGGGCUCAUUUAUUUAUUGUGUUCAUAAGGCUGCCAGUCUUAUAGCGAAAAUAUAAAAUACACAAUAGUUAGGAUACAAUCUUAAAACAUAAAAAAAUAUAAAUAAAUAACAGCACAACAAUUA